CGCUGGCGGCGUGCCUACACAUGCAAGUCGAACGGGGUUUACUGGUUAGCUUGCUAACCGGGACGACCUAGUGGCGGACGGGUGAGUAACACGUGGGUAACCUGCCCAAAAGACCGGGAUAACAGUUCGAAAGGGCUGCUAAUACCGGAUACCCUGGUUAAAAGGCAUCUUCUAACCAGGAAAGAUUUUAUCGCUUUUGGAUGGGCCCGCGUCCCAUUAGCUAGUUGGUGGAGUAACGGUUCACCAAGGCGACGAUGGGUAGCCGGCCUGAGAGGGUGUACGGCCACACUGGGACUGAGACACGGCCCAGACUCCUACGGGAGGCAGCAGUGGGGAAUAUUGCGCAAUGGGGGCAACCCUGNACGCAGCGACGCCGCGUGAGCGAAGAANGCUUUCGAGUCGUAAAGCUCUGUCAAGGGGGAAGAAUACAUUGACGGUAACCCCUGGAAGAAACCCCCGGCUAAACUNACGUGGCCANCAAGCCNGCGGUUUAAAAACCGUUAAAGGGGGGGCCGAAGNNGUUUUUUUCCCNGGGAAAAUUNACNUGGGGGGNCGUUAAAAAAGGGGCNGUUUNUAAAGGCCCGGGNUUUAAGGGUUNAAAAGUUCCC
rnacentral:rRNA from 1 species